GUGCUCGCUUCGGCAGCACAUAUACUAAAAUUGGAACAAUACAGAGAAAAAUAGCAUGGCCCAUAUACCAGGAUGACAUGCAAAUUCAUUAAGUGUUCCAUGUUAAA
ensembl:snRNA U6 U6 spliceosomal RNA